rnacentral:lncRNA from 1 species
GUUGUGUCUAGGAUAUGAAAUUGCUGUCAUUAUAAACACUAGUGUGUACAAAAUAGUUGUGUUUGGUUUUGUGUAGCAGCAUUAAAUUUUUAGUUUUAGUUAGUCUGUUCUUUAUUCAAGUGCCAUGGAGAGUGUUUCUGUAAACUGGAGCCCAGAGGCCUCGAAGAGAUCGUCGCCGCUCGAAAAGGUUGCCGUAUCGCUUGGAAGAUCGAUUUCAGCAACAUAUAUAACUGAUUGCGAUCGUGGCUGGAGCUCGGCCCGGGAGACCUCUCAGACAUCUUUCAAAAGCACGGCGUCCUCAAGUUCUCUCUGGAACUCGUGCCAGCUAUCCUCGGAAAUAUCUCUGCCGACGGCGUUUGCUGAUUGCCCCACUUCGGACUCGGAAUGUGACAUUGACUCGUCGUCGAAGCAGUGCACGCCGAAUAAUGGUUGCGGCGAGAAGGCGAAUUGCGUCAGUAAGAAGAUACGCACUGUCUUGAAAUCGUUGAACUCGGGCUUAAAGUGGGUCGGGCGAGUAGUCUUGUCUUCUUUCUACCUGCCUGAACCUGUUAGAGCGCAUAACUAGGAGCGGAAAUCCAGAACAAGAUGCCAAGAACAGAGAAGAGUCAAAUAUCCAACAUCGCUCAAGAAAUACAGAUUCCCUGUUCCUCGAUCACAUCAAAUCUACAGUAAAAUACAUACAAUAUCAAUAAAUCAGAUCCGUAUCCCUCGAUAUCGUUGCUUUUCAAAAUAAAUAUUUAGCUCUUUAUCAACGUGUGCAAAGACUGUGUGUGAGAGUUUU